GAAGAGCGUAGUCGAUGGGAAACGGGUUAAUAUUCCCGUACUUCUAGUUACUGCGAUGGGGGGACGGAGAAGGCUAGGCCAGCAAGGCGUUGGUUGUCCUUGUUUAAGGUGGUAGGCAGAGAUCUUAGGUAAAUCCGGGAUCUUAAUGCCGAGAGCUGAUGACGAGCUUUCUUUUAGAAAGCGAAGUGGUUGAUGCCAUGCUUCCAGGAAAAGCCUCUAAGCUUCAGGUAACUAGGAACCGUACCCCAAACCGACA
rnacentral:rRNA from 1 species